rnacentral:rRNA from 1 species
CCUACGGGCGGCAGCAGUGAGGAAUAUUGCUCAAUGGGCGCGAGCCUGAACCAGCCACGUAGCGUGAAGGAUACCUGCCCUACGGGUUGUAAACUUCUUUUAUAAGGGACUAAGGUGAGUCCCGUGUACCUUUUUUUAUGUACUUUAUGAAUAAGGAUCGGCUAACUUCGUGCCAGCAGCCGCGGUAAUACGGAGGCUCCGAGCGUUGUCCGGAUUUAUUGGGUGUACAGGGCGCGUAGAUGGGGUGUUAAGUGAGUUGUGAAAGUGUGCGGCUCAACCGGAAAAUUGCAAUUGAUACUGGCAGUCUUGAGUACAGGUGAGGUAGGCGGAAUUCGUGGUGUAGCGGUGAAAUGCUUAGAUAUCACGAAGAACUCCGAUUGCGAAGGCAGCUUACUGAACUGCCACUGACGUUGAUGCUCGAAGGUGUGGGGAGCGAACAGGAUUAGAUACCCCAGUAGUC